GUCCAGGGAUGGGAAUCGAACCCACAGUGUUCCGCUUACCAGGCCGAUGCCAUGUCCACUAGGCUACCCUGGA